rnacentral:rRNA from 1 species
CUGAGUACGGCGGAACACGUGAAAUUCCGUCGGAAUCCGGGAGGACCAUCUCCCAAGGCUAAAUACUCCCUAGUGACCGAUAGUGAACCAGUACCGUGAGGGAAAGGUGAAAAGCACCCCGGAAGGGGAGUGAAACAGUUCCUGAAACCGUGUGCCUACAAGUAGUUAGAGCCCGUUAAUGGGUGAUAGCGUGCCUUUUGUAGAAUGAACCGGCGAGUUACGAUUUGUUGCAAGGUUAAGCGGAAAAAGCGGAGCCGUAGCGAAAGCGAGUCUGAAUAGGGCGCAUAAGUAACAGGUCGUAGACCCGAAACCAGGUGAUCUACCCAUGUCCAGGAUGAAGGUAAGGUAAUACUUACUGGAGGUCCGAACCCACGCACGUUGAAAAGUGCGGGGAUGAGGUGUGGGUAGCGGAGAAAUUCCAAUCGAACUUGGAGAUAGCUGGUUCUCUCCGAAAUAGCUUUAGGGCUAGCCUCGAGGUAAAGAGUCAUGGAGGUAGAGCACUGUUUGGACUAGGGGCCCUUCUCGGGUUACCGAAUUCAGAUAAACUCCGAAUGCCAUGUACUUAUACUCGGGAGUCAGACUGCGAGUGAUAAGAUCCGUAGUCGAAAGGGAAACAGCCCAGACCACCAGUUAAGGUCCCCAAAUAUAUGUUAAGUGGAAAAGGAUGUGGGGUUGCUUAGACAACCAGGAUGUUGGCUUAGAAGCAGCCACCAUUGAAAGAGUGCGUAAUAGCUCACUGGUCGAGUGACCCCGCGCCGAAAAUGUACCGGGGCUAAACAUAUUACCGAAACUGUGGAUGAACCUCUUUAGAGGUUCGUGGUAGGAGAGCGUUCUAAGGGCGGUGAAGUCAGACCGGAAGGACUGGUGGAGCGCUUAGAAGUGAGAAUGCCGGUAUGAGUAGCGAAAGAAGGGUGAGAAUCCCUUCCACCGAAUAUCUAAGGUUUCCUGAGGAAGGCUCGUCCGCUCAGGGUUAGUCGGGACCUAAGCCGAGGCCGAUAGGCGUAGGCGAUGGACAACAGGUAGAGAUUCCUGUACCAGUGCUAAUUGUUUAACCGAUGGGGUGACACAGAAGGAUAGGGAAUCGCACGAAUGGAAAUGUGCGUCCAAGCAGUGAGUGUGAGAAGUAGGCA